rnacentral:tRNA from 1 species
CAAAAAAUAGUUUAUUUAAGGAUACUGGCUUUGGGAGCCAGAGGUGGGAGUUAGAUUCUCUCUUUUUUGA